UCUGGAAAAUAACCCACCCCAUAAACCCUAAAUCAAACAAAAGCAUAAAGCCUUGCGCAUUGCAUCUGCAGUAUACUCGCGCCGGAGAUCCCACCCCGGCAUGGCUUCUCAAAUGAGCAAAAAGAGAAAGUUCGUAGCAGAUGGAGUGUUCUAUGCGGAGUUGAACGAGGUGUUGACUCGUGAGCUGGCGGAGGAUGGAUACUCUGGCGUGGAGGUCAGGGUAACUCCCAUGAGGACAGAAAUCAUUAUCCGAGCCACUCGCACCCAGAAUGUUCUCGUAUUGGACUGUUUCGUUUAGUGUUGGUGUAGAAAUUUAGUGGAUAGGGUUCUCAGAAGGGUUCUUCUGAUUCGUUUAGGCGAGAAGGGGAAGAGGAUUAGAGAGCUUACGUCGGUGGUGCAGAAGAGAUUUAAGUUUCCGGAGAACAGCGUGGAGUUGUAUGCCGAGAAGGUUAACAACAGGGCACUCUGUGCCAUUGCUCAAGCUGAGUCGCUUCGAUACAAGCUGCUCGGUGGCCUU